AACCUUAUAGUAUAUAAAUAAUUACUGUAAACUGCAACUUUACCAAAGCUUCAGUGCUAAGGUUU
rnacentral:tRNA from 1 species